UAGUUCGUUAGCUAGAAAGUGAUCUGUUCUCGGUACCACACCUAUUGGAAGAAAAUUCUGUUUCUGUUUUACAGAAAAAAAGAAAGGACAAAACUCUGUUUGGUGGCGCAAUAUUGACAUACAAUUAUAAUUUAAAACAGACCUGAUAAGUGCCACACGUGUGGCACAAACACAUAGCAACCCCAAACAUUUUUUAUGAUAAGUUUAAGGCCACUGCUAGGCGCCGGCGCACCGGCCCAACUUUCGGCCGGUCGCCAAGCAGCCGUUGGAUUCAGGCAAAAGUAGCCGCAUGAUUUCCUCUCUAUCCUUCCACACAUCAUGCCUCCUCCCACAACGAGUCACCACACUCAGCCAACCGCCCCCACCCCGCGGCCUUGCCGCACAAAGCUUGCGCACCCCGCGGCAGCCGCCAUCGCCAUGGGUUGCAGGUCGCCACCUCUCUCCGCAGCUCGCCGUUGCUGUUGUCGCACACCCUCCACAUCUCGUCGUCGAUCCAGCAACACCCUCCUGCUGCAUGCAGCUCCCGUCGAUGGCCGGAUGCAGCUCGGACAGCAAAAACUCAUGCCUCCCAUCGUAGCACGGCGUCGCCGUCUCUACGGGCCUCCAUUGUCGAUGUGCAUCGUACCUAAAGAAAUCUGGUGGUCGGUUGAAGCAAAAUCAAAAAACGCUUCCAGCAAAACCAAACUUAGGUUCCAGCAAAAAUGACAUGAGCAUUUGAGAACUCUGCAGCCAAUGAAACAAAAAUUUAUCUCGGUUCCAGCAAAACAAUACAUCGGUUCCAGCAAAAAGAAAAUUGUUCAGCAAAAUACAGCCACCCCGCUUGCGGCUCCCCCAGUCGCCCGUUGUAGCUCCAGCGUACACGGUUGCAACUUCCAGCGUUCGAACGGCGUUGGCCGCAACCCUCCUUGCCACUGGAUGCAGCUUCCUCCGGCGUGGUGUCGACCUUGCAGCAUAUCCACCAGUUGGUUCCAGCAAAAACGGGCCCCGGUUCCAGCAAAAAUCCAAAUGUUCAUAAAAAAUCGAAUGGGGAUGAUAGCAAAAGGAGAAAGGGGUUGUAGCAAAACAAAUGGGUGGAUCCAGCAAAACAAAUACCUGGUUCCAGCACAAAUUCGUCGCCCCUGUGGCCAAUUGCAGCUUGGCCAUGCGACUAACGAACCCUGGUUGCGAUGGCCAUGAAGAGGGCGCACAUCUAGUUCCGGCAGACAAGACGACGAGCACUGCACCUCUGCUCGCUGAUCGUUGUACGACGCGCACCUCUACAUCUUCGUGUGUGCUCCUCUGGGAUCGCCUGCUCGCCACGCACCUAUUCUGCGGCCGGCGAGCUGUUUAUUUGGAGGUAGGCCAUGGGAGAGAGAGUAUGCAGGGGAGGAAUUGCUGUGGGGGUUGAGGAUGCAUGCGACAGGAUGAGAGAAGAAAGGAUAAGGCAGAGGAGCUGCUGGCGUGAGUGGAUAAAAAAGCUGUGGAGGUCAGCGGAUAAGGG
rnacentral:lncRNA from 1 species